ensembl:lncRNA IRX2-DT IRX2 divergent transcript
UCCAAUCCGGAAGUCGCAGGGAAGUGGGGAGGUCAGGAUGGUGGCGCCCGCGGCUCGGGUCUUCCUCCGGGCAGUGCGCGCGGCUCUCACUUCCACGGUCCCGGACCUGCUCUGCCUCCUGGCCCGAGGCUCCCCGCGUGGCCUCGCGUCUGGUCGCCUACCCCUCGCGGUCCACUCCGCCCAGCAUGGACCUGGAUCCGGGGCGCCUUGGUUGCGAAUUGCCAGGAGGGCCCUGAGGACCUGAAGCCUCCCAGUCACGUCGAGAACGGGCAGGAGCUCAGGUUGGCGCCGCCGGUGCAGUGGGCAUUACAGGUGCAAGGGAACCAGUUGCAAACUGCAGUGCUGUGCUUGAGGAUGGCUCCUCCUGAGCCGGCAGGCUCCCGGUAGGCGCGGUCCAGCCAAAGAAUUUAGAACGAGUCUACGUGGACACGCAAGUUUCAGCGAGCGGGGA